rnacentral:ncRNA from 2 species
CCCAGAGCCUUGAGCUCUUUGAAGGGUCGUUCGAGACCAGGACGUUGAUAGGUCAGGUGUGGAAGUGCAGUAAUGCAUUAAGCUAACUGAUACUAAUUGCCCGUACGGCUUGUCCCU